UCGCGUUUCGUUCUGUUCAUGUAACCGUACACAUGUGCUUGUGCAUGGUACGUUGCAAAGUUGAAUGAAAAUGGGCAUUGGAAAAUGCAAAAAAAUUUAAAUAUCCAAAAAGUGCAGUAUUAAAUGAUCUUCGGCAAGUGAAAAAGAACGAGAACGACAGGGACAGCGUGUUGUGUUGCGUCGCGUUCGACGUCGAGCAGCGAACCGUUCACAACCGUUUGCAACCGCUUGCAACCUCUUGCAACUGCUUCGUCGAACCGACACAAUGGCAUCCCGUAUUAUGUGGCACAGGUCAAUUGAGAAUGAAUGCUAAUCAAUGUUUUUAAUAAAUACAUUUAAAACACUCAAAACACGAGAGAUACUCCAUCUGCAAUAUUUGU
ensembl:ncRNA asRNA:CR45623 antisense RNA:CR45623